rnacentral:rRNA from 1 species
UCGAACGGCAGCACGAGAGAGCUUGCUCUCUUGGUGGCGAGUGGCGGACGGGUGAGUAAUAUAUCGGAACGUGCCCAGUAGCGGGGGAUAACUACUCGAAAGAGUGGCUAAUACCGCAUACGCCCUACGGGGGAAAGGGGGGGAUUCUUCGGAACCUCUCACUAUUGGAGCGGCCGAUAUCGGAUUAGCUAGUUGGUGGGGUAAAGGCUCACCAAGGCAACGAUCCGUAGCUGGUUUGAGAGGACGACCAGCCACACUGGGACUGAGACACGGCCCAGACUCCUACGGGAGGCAGCAGUGGGGAAUUUUGGACAAUGGGGGAAACCCUGAUCCAGCCAUCCCGCGUGUAUGAUGAAGGCCUUCGGGUUGUAAAGUACUUUUGGCAGAGAAGAAAAGGUAUCUCUUAAUACGAGAUACUGCUGACGGUAUCUGCAGAAUAAGCACCGGCUAACUACGUGCCAGCAGCCGCGGUAAUACGUAGGGUGCAAGCGUUAAUCGGAAUUACUGGGCGUAAAGCGUGUGUAGGCGGUUCGGAAAGAAAGAUGUGAAAUCCCAGGGCUCAACCUUGGAACUGCAUUUUUAACUGCCGAGCUAGAGUAUGUCAGAGGGGGGUAGAAUUCCACGUGUAGCAGUGAAAUGCGUAGAUAUGUGGAGGAAUACCGAUGGCGAAAGCAGCCCACUGGGAUAAUACUGACGCUCAGACACGAAAGCGUGGG